CAAUUAUUUCCAUUGAUGCAUUUUCAGGCAACCGCUGAGAGCUCAACACAUUAUUCAUCUGGUUGAUACACAAGUCCAUGGCACUUUUGGCGGAUGUUAACUCAUCAGAACAGAGAGAAAGCAACGCCUUAAAAAGAGUAAAGUCAGGGGCACUUUCAUAUCUAUGAGAUCCACGAACAGCUUCAUCUUUUUCUGCAUCACCUGUAAGCAUCCACUCCUCGGAAAUUGAAACAGACGGAAGUCUUUCUUGACCAUCCAUGGG
rnacentral:misc_RNA from 1 species